AGGUCCGGGCGUUAUCCGGAUUUACUGGGUGUACAGGGAGCGUAGACGGCAGCGCAAGUCUGAAGUGAAAUGCCAGGGCUUAACCCUGGAACUGCUUUGGAAACUGUGCAGCUAGAGUGCAGGAGAGGUAAGUGGAAUUUCUAGUGUAGCGGUGAAAUGCGUAGAUAUUAGGAGGAACACCAGUGGCGAAGGCGGCUUACUGGACUGUAACUGACGUUGAGGCUCGAAAGCGUGGGGAGCA
rnacentral:rRNA from 1 species